rnacentral:rRNA from 1 species
UACGAAGGGGGCUAGCGUUGCUCGGAAUCACUGGGCGUAAAGGGUGCGUAGGCGGGUCUUAAGUCAGGGGUGAAAUCCUGGAGCUCAACUCCAGAACUGCCUUUGAUACUGAAGAUCUUGAGUUCGGGAGAGGUGAGUGGAACUGCGAGUGUAGAGGUGAAAAUUCGUAGAUAUUCGCAAGAACACCAGUGGCGAAGGCGGCUCACUGGCCCGAUACUGACGCUGAGGCACGAAAGCGUGGGGAGCCAAACAGG